rnacentral:misc_RNA from 1 species
AUAGAUGAUAUAACACCAAAAAAUCCUGUUUGGUUAACUAGGAUGGAUGGUCACAUGGGUUUGGCUAAUUCAAUGGCACUGAAGUUAGCUGGAAUCAGUAGUUUAUUACAAAAUCCAAAUGGUGGAACCAUUUUGAGGUCUGCUGAUGGAGAACCUACUGGAUUGUUAAUUGAUGCUGCAAUGAAACUCAUUCUGCCCUGGAUCCCAGAGGUCUCAGUAGAUGAAAGAAGGGAGGCUGUGCUUAUAGCUGGCAAUCUUGCCUUGAUGAGGGGGGUGACAACCGUUGUUGAUUUUGGAAGAUACUUUCCUGGGGCAUCGAUAGAGAAUUCAUGGGAGGAUCUUUCAGAUGUAUAUCAAUGGGC